rnacentral:rRNA from 1 species
GAUGAACGCUGGCGGCGUGCCUAAUACAUGCAAGUCGAGCGAACGGACGAGAAGGUUGCUUCUCUGAUGUUAGCGGCGGACGUGUGAGUAACACGUGGAUAACCUACCUAUAAGACUGGGAUAACUUCGUGAAACCGGAGCUAAUACCGUAUAAUCUUUUGAACCGCAUGGUUCAAUAGUGAAAGACGGUCUUGCGGUCACUUAUAGAUGGAUCAGCGCUGCAUUAGCUAGUUGGUAAGGUAACGGCUUACCAAGGCAACGAUGCAUAGCCGACCUGAGAGGGUGAUCGGCCACACUGGAACUGAGACACGGCCCAGACUCCUACGGGAGGCAGCAGUAGGGAAUCUUCCGCAAUGGGCGAAAGCCUGACGGAGCAACGCCGCGUGAGUGAUGAAGGUCUUCGGAUCGUAAACCUCUGUUAUUAGGGAAGAACAUAUGUGUAAGUAAAUGUGCACAUCUUGACGGUACCUAAUCAGAAAGCCACGGCUAACUACGUG